rnacentral:rRNA from 1 species
CCCUUAGAUGUCCUGGGCCGCACGCGUGCUACACUGACGCCUACAGCGAGUACUUCCCAGCCCCGAGAGGUGGCUGGUAAUCGGCAAUAGGCGUCGUGAUGGGGAUAGAUCUUUGGAAUUAUGGAUCUUGAACGAGGAAUGCCUAGUAAGCGCAGGUCAUUAGCCUGCGCUGAUUAAGUCCCUGCCCUUUGUACACACCGCCCGUCGCUCCUACCGAUUUCGAGUGGUCCGGUGAAUCUUUCGGACUGCGCGCGGCCUCGUGCCGUGUCGCGGAAAGUCAGGUAAACCUUAUCACUUAGAGGAAGGAGAAGUCGUAACA